rnacentral:rRNA from 1 species
UACGGAGGGUGCGAGCGUUGUCCGGAAUUACUGGGCGUAAAGGGCGCGUAGGUGGCGCGGGAAGUCAACGGUGAAAGUUCGGGGCUCAACCCUGAAUCGGCCGUCGAUACUCCCGGGCUCGAGCACUGUAGAGGCAGAUGGAAUUCCGGGUGUAGCGGUGGAAUGCGUAGAGAUCCGGAAGAACACCGGUGGCGAAGGCGGUCUGCUGGGCAGUUGCUGACACUGAGGCGCGACAGCGUGGGGAGCAAACAGG